CGUGUCGUGAGAUGUUGGGUUAAGUCCCGCAACGAGCGCAACCCUUAUUACUAGUUGCCAGCAUUUAGUUGGGCACUCUAGUGGGACUGCCGGUGACAAACCGGAGGAAGGUGGGGAUGACGUCAAAUCAUCAUGCCCCUUAUGACCUGGGCUACACACGUGCUACAAUGGCGUAUACAACGAGUUGCCAACCCGCGAGGGUGAGCUAAUCUCUUAAAGUACGUCUCAGUUCGGAUUGUAGGCUGCAACUCGCCUACAUGAAGUCGGAAUCGCUAGUAAUCGCGGAUCAGCACGCCGCGGUGAAUACGUUCCCGGGUCUUGUACACACCGCCCGUCACACCAUGAGAGUUUGUAACACCCAAAGCCGGUGGGGUAACCUUCGGGAGCCAGCCGUCUAAGGUGGGACAGAUGAUUAGGGU
rnacentral:rRNA from 1 species